UGCGAUGGCUCCACGACUAAGUCCUAGCCCAAGGACAUCUGCCGUGACAAUUCCACGACAGACGGGAUAGGAGAUAUCUGGACGAGUAACAUCUAGAUAAACAAGACUCCCAAUAAGAUGAUGAUAACGCGUUGGAUUAGACAAGGGUCACCAUUAGUAGCACGAAGAUGAACAUUGAGCUCCAUGAGAGUCUCAACAGUGCACUCAUCAGUAAGAGCAGCAUGAGCAAGAAGAUUCUGGAUAUAUUUUUCUUGGGAAAUAAAAAAGCCAUCAUAGGUAGAAGAGAUCUCUAUCCCAAGAAAGUAGGGAAGAGAGCCAAGAUCAGACAUAAAAAACUGCUCACUAAGACGUGCCUUCACAAAGGCAAUAUACUCAGGGUUGUCGCCAUUGAUGAUCAUGUCGUCAACGUAUAGAAAAGAAGAAGAGUCGGACCACGAUCAGAAAAAUAUAUCCAGAAGAAGAGUCUGACCACGAACAGAAAAAUAUAUCCAUCAGAGGUAGAAGAGACCUCUAUCCCAAGAAAGUAGCGAAGAGGGCCAAGAUCAGACAUAAUAAACUGCUCACUAAGACGUGCCUUCACAAAGGCAAUAUACUCGCGGUCGUCGCCAUUCAUGAUCAUGUCAUCAACAUUCUAACCUAUAAUGAGGCUGGCCAACUCGGCCUCCCAGCGCUCCCCCAGAUUGAAGCUUUGUUGGCCGUUCGAUGGAGCUGCUUUUGGUCAACUGGUUUGUCUCGGCCGCCAGAUUUGUUCUGCCAGUUUUCACCGCGCGGUUAAUUUUCACUAUCCAUGACUGGUGGGCUUGUUCUUCCUCCCUAUUGUCUGGGUGAGCCAUUCGUGGGUGCGAACGACCCUGCCCUCGCACGCCGUGCGUCGUGCGGCCCGUCGUGGUCGUCUCUGCUGUUGCAUGCAAACCCCAUAUGAACCCUAGCCUCCAAUCACAGUCACCACAUCCAUCCCUCCUCCCCCACCAAGCUUACUAUGUUGAAUUCCGGUAAGGGCAAUCCCAUUGUUUAUGCAUCUUCUUUAACAAAAGAACGAUAAUUGGGGUAUCAUCUGAGAUGUGCUUGAUUAAUGUCUUUCAGGCAAUGUAUGAUGCCAUUUGCAACCUUCUUGAGUAAGCUGAAACAUGAGUAACUCCAUUAAUUUUUAUGUAGGUAUGUUAAUAAUCAUUAUGUCACAUUGUAAUUCCAUCACAAGAAUCAUCUCUCCUAUUUCAUCCUCUGAAUUUCUGUACUGCUGGUGCUUACAUAUAUGUAUAUUUCGCUUCUGCUUGAGUCUCUCCUGUCUGAUCCGGUAUUGAUGAUCUAUGUGGCCGAAAAAAAUACAUUGCCUGUGAUUUGUUUAGAUGCAUCAUGAUAUCCAGCUGUGUUGUUAUGGCUUCAAAAUAUGUCUACAGAGUAUUAUUGAUGGUUAUUUUGCAUGUUGGGUUAUAUUAGUAAUGUGCCUUGAAAUUAUUUUCCCUCCUCGUCUUGGUGUCUUGUGUUGGUAUGGCCUAAAAAUGUGUAUUAAGAAGUAUUUAUGAUUGCCAUUUGCAUGCUGGGUCAUAUUAGUGAUGUGGUUUAUUUAUUCAUGGUUCAGAUUGUUUGUUUGGUCUUUUGAUUUACACAUUUGUCCAUAAUUUUUUUAUAUGUAUAUAUACAGUCGUCUCGGAAUGGGAUAUGAUUCUUUUUGGUAUUUCAGUUUACAAGUUCAUCCUAGGAAUCUUGAUAUCUGGUUGUGUUGGUAUAGUUUUGUAAUUUUUCGCCUGGAAUCCAUCUAUCGAGUCUGCUUUUUCUUUGUUCUGUUCAUCAAGGUUUGCUCCCUUCUUUUAAUGCAUUAGCUUUGUUUUAAUUGUACUCUUGUGAUGCUUGUUGGUUAAGUGAUGAUUUUACAUUCUGGAUUAGGCCGACGUGUCGUGUUCUAUUUUGCGUCGUGCUGCUUAUAUUUCGUGGUUGCCUGUGGACAGGAAGUGUGCACUUGUUUCCAUUGUACCUAUUUUGGAAGCCGUGGUAGCGCGAUAGGCUUUACCAGCGCUUGCAUACUUGCGUGAGGUCGCAAAACAUAAUAGUUUGGCGCAUCCUGCUAUGUGACACAUUGUGACCAUCCUCGAUAAUAUUUUCCUCUUGGUCUUUUCUGUACAUAACAGUGUGAUACGACACCUAUAGAAAUUGCUGCAGACUAUUGAAGAAGAGAGCCUGUGGAGAUUGGACGUGGAGUAUAUGAACUCGAGUGCACAGGAGUUCGUUAUCUGUCCCGUUCGGUACUGCGCUGUGAUUCGGUGCAUUGAAUGCUCACAACAGGCCCGUGGUCGACCAGGAAUUUGGAAAUUGAGAUAUACGUAGAGGUGCAGACCUGACUGGUUGGCAAUAGCUCUGACGGAAGUUGGGACGCCGUCGACUGAUCGGAGGAGAGCCGUGGCUCGGGACGUCGGUGCCGUCCUGAUCCGUGGUUCAGAAUUGUUGCUUUUUGGUAGUGUUGACAGUGAUCGAGUAAAUGCAGGGAUGGGUAGAUGCAAGCAACUGUCUCCUACCUUACGAGACUAGAUCUUUCUUCUCUUGAGGCCGGUGAACCGGAGGAGGCGACUGCGGCUGCCGGAGAACAUGGACUUCUUGAUGCAACCGAUUAACAGGAGUGUUUGAGGUGAACGAGAGUGACAUACCCAUGGUGCCCCUCCGGUACCCAGUGAUGGCGCAGCUUCGCGGCCAGAUCUGUGCGAUGGAAGUGGCGGCGCAGGCACCUGGUCGAGAUCGACCCCAAGCCUCAGAGCAAAUCCAUAGAGCAGAUCGACCCCAAGAGUCCAGGAUGGAUGCGUAGGUAAGAAGUUUUUGCUGGUACUGAUAUUUUCUGCUUGUUGAAGUGCUGCAAAAUUCAGUCUGAAAAGUGACUGCUGCCGGCAUUCAGUGAUUUUCCUGUAAUAAUCUGUUUCAGCGCUAUCGAUGAUUUUCACGUACAGGCGACGUGUGUCCACAUAGACUAUGUUGAUUGAUUUUGCUGUAUCAUGUCUACGUUUGUGUAGUUAAAGGGACGAGUCUAAACUGUUUAUUAAGUGGUGAUUGUUCCUGCAUGACAAC